rnacentral:lncRNA from 1 species
CCGAAGCAAAACAUCAAAUCGCGACUCGCACUAGAGGAGCUACCGCACCCGAGAGCUCCGCCGCAGGUAAGUCUCAGCUUUUUGAGUUUUUUUAGCUCAUCGAGGGCCUUACGUGUGUUUUCUCGCAGAAACUGGUGCUAGUUUGGCUGAAUUCGACUGGAAACGGUCGAAAACAGCCAACCCGAGGCGGAUCACCGCCGUGGGCGAUGGCGCCGACGCCGAAGCACGGCAGAUUGC